rnacentral:rRNA from 1 species
UACUCUUAGCGGUGGAUCACUUGGCUCGUGGAUCGAUGAAGAACGCAGCUAGAAAAAAGUAUGAAAGGCAACAUUUCGUCAGUCUGAAGUUUUUAGUGUGUAUUUUUGUGUUC